CUACGGGUUGCAGCAGUCGAGAAUAUUGGUCAAUGGGGGAAACCCUGAACCAGCGACGCCGCGUGCUUGAAGAAGCCCUUCGGGGUGUAAAGAGCUUUUCUGGGGGAUGAAUCCGCCGCAAGGCGGAUGACAGUACUCCAGGAAUAAGAGGUUGCUAACUCUGUGCCAGCAGCAGCGGUAAUACGGAGACCUCAAGCGUUAUCCGGAUUUAUUGGGCGUAAAGAGUCUGUAGGCGGUCUGGCAAGUCUUUGGUUAAAUACCCAGGGCUCAACCUUGGGGGUGCCAGGGAUACUGCUAGACUAGAGGGCGCUAGAGGCUGAUGGAACGGUCGGUGUAGGGGUGAAAUCCGUUGAUAUCGACCGGAACACCAAAAGCGAAGGCAUUCAGCUGGGGCGACCCUGACGUUGAGAGACGAAAGCGUAGGUAGCGACAAGGAUUAGAUACCCGAGUAGUC
rnacentral:rRNA from 1 species